GAUGAACGCUGGCGGCGUGCCUAAUACAUGCAAGUCGAGCGAACAGACGAGGAGCUUGCUCCUCUGACGUUAGCGGCGGACGGGUGAGUAACACGUGGAUAACCCACCUAUAAGACUGGGAUAACUUCGGGACACCGGAUCUAAUACCGGAUAAUAUAUUGAACCGCAUGGUUCAAUAGUGAAAGACGGUUUUGCUGUCACUUAUAGCUGGAUCCGCGCCGCAUUAGCUAGUUGGUAAGGUAACGGCUUACCAAGGCAACGAUGCGUAGCCGACCUGAGAGGGUGGUAGGCCACACUGGAAGUGGGACACGGUCCAGACUCCUACGGGAGGCAGCAGUAGGGAAUCGUACGCAAUGGGCGAAAGCCUGACGGAGCAACGCCGCGUGAGUGAUGAAGGUCUUCGGAUCGUAAAACUCUGUUAUUAGGGAAGAACAAAUGUGUAAGUAACUAUGCACGUCUUGACGGUACCUAAUCAGAAAGCCACGGCUAACUACGUG
rnacentral:rRNA from 1 species